rnacentral:rRNA from 1 species
GAUGAACGCUGACAGAAUGCUUAACACAUCAGCAAUUGAUUGGUGGCGGACGGGUGAGUAACGCGUAAAGAACUUGCCUCACAGCUAGGGACAAAAUUUGGAAACGAAAGCUAAUACCUAAUACUGUGAGAGAGCUUUGCGGCACAUUAGCUAGUUGGAGAGGUAACGGCUCACACAGGCGAUGAUGGGUAGCCGGCCUGAGAGGGUGAUCGGCCACAAGUGGACUGGGGCACAGACCUUACGCCGACGGGAGGCAGCAGUGGGGAAUAUUUGACAAUGGACCAAAGUCUGAUCCAGCAAUUCGGUGUGCACGAUGAAGUUGUCGGAAUGUAAAGUGCUUUCAGUUGGGAAGCGGUACCAACAGAAGAAGUGACGGCUAAAUACGUGCCAGCCGCCGCGGUAAUAC